AGGAAGGAACCACAUGUGAAACCACUUACCUGUUUAACCCUAUGAACUUGAAGAGAACAUGUAAUGCCACUUAAAAUACCUAAGCUCGGGUUCUGCCUUCAGCGACUCCUGGUAGUAGUGCCCUUAUGAGCCAUUUAUCAAGAAGUGAUAGGAUCGCAUUCUGUCACCCAGUCUGGAGUGCAAUGGCAUGACCUUGGCUCACUGCAGCCUCGAUCUCCCAGCCUCAAUCAAUCCUUUCACCUCAGCCUCCUGAGUAGCUUGAACUACAGCUGAGGAUGCUAUGAAAACCCCUUGAGGAAACAAAGGCACCUUGGGGGCCAUUGAGAACUCCUGACGAAGAGGGCUCAGCUGCCAGACCUGCUCAAGAAAGACCUCAGAAAUCUCUAUGGGGCUGUCAGAAGAAAAGGUUUGAAAAGGGUCUGGAGAGACUGAAAUUUGUCUGCCUUGGACUUUUCUUUUGACAAUUCACAUCCAACUUAAGCAGAAUCAUUGUUUAUUCUUAUUAUGCCAGGUUUCCUUUUCUGGUCUGCAGGUUCUCUAGGGUUUCAUAGGCUAGUAGUUGGAAUUUUCAUAUUUCCAAAGCAUUGGGGAUUUUGCAAAAACAAAAUCUAAAGGAUAUUCAGCAGCACAGUUUACUUAGGAGGUUUUAAUCAUAAUAAUCUGCAUAAUGUAUGAGAAUUUCUACCUCAGCUGCCUCCUUUCUUUCUCUUUCGUGUCUGGGAAAAAGCCAGGGAUUUUUCCCUUCCUCUGAUUUAAAUACCUUAUAAAAUUUUGGUGGAAGCAUUUUGUCCUAUUCUGUCUUCCUGAUUCAUUUUCUGCUGUAAUGAGCAAAAUUAAUUUGCAAGAGCUGCUACUGACAUAGUGUAAUAAACUGGGUCAUAGGUAGAAUCAGUGCCGCCUUAUGACCCUUAGCUGUCAUUGCUUUAAGGAAUUUGGCAUGGUCCUCGAAGGCCAGAAGGCAAUGUGGGUUGCAUCCUACAGCUUUUGAGAUCUCAGAGACUUACUGCACCCAUGGCUGGGAAUGAACUGUAAAUGCUGACACUGGUAACUAGGUGCCAAACUGAAGUGAUCACAACCUAAUCUGAGCCAAAAGGCAUUUCUUUGCAUCAGGCAUAAAGCAACAUCAAACUCCCAUAACCCACACACAACACAGAAAUCAUUACUGAAGAGAUUCAACAUCAUCAUGCCAGACACUAAGUGAGUUAUUUCUCUCCUUCCCUGUCUCACCACAGUUUCCUCCCACUUGGUCACACAUGGUAAGCAUUCAUGUGUGCGAAGGCAUUUUAUGCCUUCGACCUAACCCCGACCACAGUCCCCUAGUCUUAUCAGAGAUCUGCACUCCCCACCAUUUGAGCACGAUGGAGUGCAUAUUUCCAGUGCAAAAAGACUGAUAUCAUUAUGAUUUUCAUUAACUAGUUGCCAGCUUGCAUUCUUUUUUCUCCCUUUUUUUCUCUCUCAACAGCACUUCUGUCCUCAGCCCAACCCCAGCCAGAAAAGGUGUUGCUACAUUCAGUGAAAAAUUAUUAUUAGUAUAGACAUGAAAUUUGAUGAUAAUGUAGAUUGUUUUGUGUCAUCUGCAGGCUGUCACAAUACACUCUGCAUCACUGAAAUGUGUUGACCAGAAGGAUGAUGGUGUUGUCAUGAUACUGAGGUCUUUUAAUUAAUUACUUUGUGACUUUCAUAGCAUUUAGAAAACGGAGAACAGGGUAUUUUCUUGAACAGCCUAGCCAAAUGAAAAACUGGUUACUAAUGUAUGUUAUCUUCAUGAAUGAAGGCAUAAAAUAAUAAAAACAAACAAAUUAAAAAUUGUUAAUAAAUUAAUAA
ensembl:lncRNA novel transcript